GACGAACGCUGGCGGCGUGCUUAACACAUGCAAGUCGAGCGGAAAGGCCACUUCGGUGGUACUCGAGCGGCGAACGGGUGAGUAACACGUGAGUAAUCUGCCCCUCACUUUGGGAUAGCCACCGGAAACGGUGAUUAAUACCGGAUAUGACCAUAUGUCGCAUGGCGUGUGGUGGAAAGUUUUUCGGUGAGGGAUGUGCUCGCGGCCUAUCAGCUUGAUGGUGAGGUAAUGGCUCACCAUGGCUUCGACGGGUAGCCGGCCUGAGAGGGUGACCGGUCACACUGGAACUGAGACACGGCCCAGACUCCUACGGGAGGCAGCAGUGGGGAAUAUUGGACAAUGGGCGGAAGCCUGAUCCAGCAACGCCGCGUGAGGGAUGACGGCCUUCGGGUUGUAAACCUCUUUCAGUACCGACGAAGCGCAAGUGACGGUAGGUACAGAAGAAGCACCGGCCAACUACGUG
rnacentral:rRNA from 1 species